rnacentral:misc_RNA from 1 species
GAACCCUCUUAGUGAUGGGACUUUUAUUCUAUUGAAAUCAUCAAUCAAUUUUUCACAACAUCAAUAACAUGCAAAAUAGAAACAAAUGGACAACUGUUCCAAAAUAUGCUAAACAGUGUUUGAAAACCAUAUCAGACCCAAUAUGGCAGGUAAUAAAAGCAGAGAAAUAAGAACAAGAUCUUCAUCCAUGAGGCUUAAAUACAAAUUUUGUUUUGCUCAACUACAUUUUUUUUUUCUCCUUCAUAGAAUUGUUUCAUAUAAAGUUCAUAUGAUUAAAAUCUCCAACAAAAAAAGGUAAGCAGACAAAUAUAAGCAGUCUGAGUUAUAUUAACCAUUUCUUACUUAUUGAUGUCAUGCCACAUAUCCAAAGGGCAGCAGAUUCACUUGAAACAUUAUUUUGCGCUCAGAGAUAUUGGGCAUGAACCAACAGAGGAAGACUGUCACUCCAAUGUAGCAAAACCAAGGGCCAACGCAUAAGUCUAUCCAGCUUAUGCU